rnacentral:rRNA from 1 species
GGAGUUUGAUCCUGGCUCAGGAUGAACGCUAGCGGCGUGCCUAAUGCAUGCAAGUCGAACGGGAUCCUUUGAUUCGUCGAAGGUGAGAGUGGCGAACGGGUGAGUAACACGUUGGUGACCUGCCCCAGAGAGGGGGACAACCAGUGGAAACGCUGGCUAAUACCCCGGAUGUCAAGGCUUUUAGAAACCCUUGACUAAAGCUCCGGCGCUCUGGGAGGGGCCUGCGGUCCAUCAGCUAGUUGGUAGGGUAACGGCCUACCAAGGCGAAGACGGAUGGGGGGCGUGAGAGCGUGACCCCCCACACUGGUACUGACACACGGACCAGAUACCUGCGGGUAGCAGCAGCAAGGAAUAUUGCCCAAUGGACGAAAGUCUGAGGCAGCAACGCCGCGUGAAGGAUGAAGGCUUUCGGGUUGUAAACUUCUUUUUUGGGGGAAGAGAAAGGACGGUACCCCAAGAAUAAGAUCCGGCUAACUACGUGCCAGCAGCCGCGGUAAAACGUAGGGAUCGAGCGUUAUCCGGAUUUACUGGGCGUAAAGCGCGUGCAGGCGGUUUUUUAAGUCGGACGUGAAAGCUCCUGGCUCAACUAGGAGAGGCCGUUCGAAACUGGAAGACUUGAGGAUGGUAGAGGUAAGUGGAAUUCCCGGUGUAGUGGUGAAAUGCGUAGAUAUCGGGAGGAACACCAGUGGCGAAGGCGGCUUACUGGGCCAUUCCUGACGCUGAGACGCGAAAGCUAGGGGAGAGAACGGGAUUAGAAACCCCGGUAUUCCUAGCCGUAAACGAUGUCAACUAGGUGUAGGGGGUAUCCAACCCCCCUGUGCUGUAGCUAACGCGUUAAGUUGACCGCCUGGGGACUACGGCCGCAAGGCUAAAACUCAAAGGAAUUGACGGGGACCCGCACAAGCAGCGGAGCGUGUGGUUUAACUCGAGCUACGCGAAGAACCUUACCAGGGUUUGACAUGUACGUGGUAGGAAGGUGAAAGCCGACUGACCCUUCGGGGAGCGUACACAGGUGCUGCAUGGCUGUCGUCAGCUCGUGCCGUGAGGUGUUAGGUUAAGUCCUGUAACGAGCGCAACCCUCGUCGUUAGUUAUACGUGUCUAACGAGACUGCCGGUGAUAAGCCGGAGGAAGGCGGGGAUGACGUCAAGUCAGCAUGGCCUUUAUAUCCUGGGCUACACACACGCUACAAUGGCCGGUACAAUGGGUUGCCAAGCCGCGAGGCGGAGCCAAUCCUUCAAAGCCGGUCUCAGUUCGGAUUGUAGGCUGCGACUCGCCCGCAUGAAGUCGGAGUUGCUAGUAAACGCGCGUCAGCAACAGUGCGUUGAAUACGUUCCCGGGUCUUGUACACACCGCCCGUCACGUCAUGGAAGUUGGCAACGCCUGAAGUCAGUGGGCUAACCCUAACGGGAGGCAGCUGCCCAAGGCGGGGUCGGUAACUGGGACGAAGUCGUAACAAGGUA